GUAUGAAGAUGGAAAUAUCUACACCGCCAUCUGUACGAAGAUGGAAAUGUCUAAACCGCCAACUCUAUAAACAUGGAAAUAUCUACAGCGCCAUUUGUAGGAACAUGGAUAUAAAGUCAUUAACUUGCUAAAUGAAAGGGUAAUAAGAGCCUGAAAGUUUCAUAGAGAUCACAACUGCAGAAAGCAGCUACCACCACCAGGACUGAGGGAACAAAGGGAAAAAUAGGAAAUUAUUAAAACUUGAAGCACCAUGGAAGUGAAAUGUUAUUUUCACAGCAAAAGGAGUUGCCGCCACAAUAACAAAAGCUCACCAGCCAGGUCUAGCAAAUACCACCCUUUCUUAUAUUUAUUGCUUUACUUCUUUUGGGAUGAAAGAAAAUUAUAUUGAAUUUUCUUUUUCUUCCCCUUUGUCUUCCUGAAAUUCUCAAUGUGAUGUUGAACAUUGAAGGACAAGUAGUUGAUUUCUCUCAAGUGCCUUAUUUGAGCUCUUGUCGUUUUUGUAAGGAUUUA
rnacentral:lncRNA from 1 species